rnacentral:rRNA from 1 species
AUUGAACGCUGGCGGCAUGCCUUACACAUGCAAGUCGAACGGUAACAGGUCUUCGGAUGCUGACGAGUGGCGAACGGGUGAGUAAUAUAUCGGAACGUGCCCAGUAGUGGGGGAUAACUGCUCGAAAGAGCAGCUAAUACCGCAUACGACCUGAGGGUGAAAGGGGGGGAUCGCAAGACCUCUCGCUAUUGGAGCGGCCGAUAUCAGAUUAGCUAGUUGGUGGGGUAAAGGCCUACCAAGGCAACGAUCUGUAGUUGGUCUGAGAGGACGACCAGCCACACUGGGACUGAGACACGGCCCAGACUCCUACGGGAGGCAGCAGUGGGGAAUUUUGGACAAUGGGCGCAAGCCUGAUCCAGCAAUGCCGCGUGCAGGAAGAAGGCCUUCGGGUUGUAAACUGCUUUUGUACGGAACGAAACGGUCCUGGUUAAUACCCGGGGCUAAUGACGGUACCGUAAGAAUAAGCACCGGCUAACUACGUGCCAGCAGCCGCGGUAAGAC